rnacentral:rRNA from 1 species
UACAGAGGGGCAAGCGUUGUUCGGAAUUACUGGGCGUAAAGGGCGCGUAGGCGGUCAGCACAAGUCAGUUGUGAAAUCUCCGGGCUUAACUCGGAAAGGUCAACUGAUACUGUGCGACUAGAGUGCAGAAGGGGCAACUGGAAUUCUCGGUGUAGCGGUGAAAUGCGUAGAUAUCGAGAGGAACACCUGCGGCGAAGGCGGGUUGCUGGGCUGACACUGACGCUGAUGCGCGAAAGCCAGGGGAGCGAACGGG